rnacentral:rRNA from 1 species
GGAUCCAGACUUUGAUUCUGGCUCAGGACGAACGCUGGCGGCGUGCUUAACACAUGCAAGUCGAACGGAGAAUUUAUUUCGGUAAAUUCUUAGUGGCGAACGGGUGAGUAACGCGUAGGCAACCUGCCCUCCAGUUGGGGACAACAUUCCGAAAGGAAUGCUAAUACCGAAUGUGAUCCUUCUUCCGCAUGGAGGAAGGAUGAAAGAUGGCCUCUAUUUAUAAGCUAUCGCUGGAAGAUGGGCCUGCGUCUGAUUAGCUAGUUGGUGGGGUAACGGCUCACCAAGGCGAUGAUCAGUAGCCGGUCUGAGAGGAUGAACGGCCACAUUGGGACUGAGACACGGCCCAAACUCCUACGGGAGGCAGCAGUGGGGAAUCUUCCGCAAUGGACGAAAGUCUGACGGAGCAACGCCGCGUGAGUGAUGAAGGUCUUCGGAUUGUAAGACUCUGUUGUCAGGGACGAAUGUGCGAACGUUGAAUAAGCGUUUGUAUUGACGGUACCUGACGAGGAAGCCACGGCUAACUACGUGCCAGCAGCCGCGGUAAUACGUAGGUGGCAAGCGUUGUCCGGAAUUAUUGGGCGUAAAGAGCAUGUAGGCGGGCUUUUAAGUCCGACGUGAAAAUGCGGGGCUUAACCCCGUAUGGCGUUGGAUACUGGAAGUCUUGAGUGCAGGAGAGGAAAGGGGAAUUCCCAGUGUAGCGGUGAAAUGCGUAGAUAUUGGGAGGAACACCAGUGGCGAAGGCGCCUUUCUGGACUGUGUCUGACGCUGAGAUGCGAAAGCCAGGGUAGCAAACGGGAUUAGAUACCCCGGUAGUCCUGGCCGUAAACGAUGGGUACUAGGUGUAGGAGGUAUCGACCCCUUCUGUGCCGGAGUU